UGAGUUGAGUUGAGUUGAGUUGUAAUCUUGCACCAAAGGUACCUAGAAAAUAAAAGAACAAAAUGUAAAGCAUCCAUUUAAAGGUUAUAAUUGCACAAGGUAAUUCUUAGAAGCAUCUUCAACACAGAAUGAUCUAUGAGCAAAAUGAUAUUUACCAGAUUGAAAAGACAAACCCCGGAGUACAUCUUCUUUUGCACUGGUUCUUCCCUUUUUUUCUCUGGGUACUUCAACCAUUAGUGUGAUACUUCAUGCAAAUCAGCCCUUGAGUUCUUUCCUAUAUUCCAAAACUCUAUGCCAUAAUCCUAAGCAUUUUUCCCUUACAUCCACUCAACAACUUAGAAUUCUAAGAACCAAAAGCUUUAAACUAAUUUGCUUCCCUUCAAUAUAUUCAAAAAUAAAUGAAUAAAUAAAUAA
rnacentral:misc_RNA from 1 species